GUUGAGGUCUAUCCCGAUGGGGCUUUUUCUGUAGACUUACAUCAUCGGAAAUGCCUCAUAGCGUCAAGAUGUGGUUUCCUUUACUCUCAGAUCUAUGUGUUAGAUCUGUGGGAAGGAACUACAAGAUAGAG
ensembl:snoRNA